GACGAACGCUGGCGGCGUGCCUAAUACAUGCAAGUCGAGCGCACAAGGCUGGUACUUGUACCAACUGGAUAAGCAGCGAACGGGUGAGUAACGCGUGGGGAAUCUGCCUUAGAGCGGGGGACAACAAUUGGAAACGAAUGCUAAUAGCGCAUAAAAACUUUAAACAAAAGUUGUAAGUUUGAAAGAUGCCAUUUCAUCACUUAAAGAUGAUCCCGCGUUGUAUUAGCUAGUUGGUGAGGUAAAGGCUCAUCAAGGCGAUGAUACAUAGCGGACCUGAAAGGGUGAGCAGCCUAGUUGGGACUGGGACACGGCCCACACCCCUACGAGAGGCAGCCGGAGGGAAUCUUUGGCGAUGGACGAAGGUCUGAGCGUGACGCGCCGCGUGAGUGCAGAACGUUUCCGGGUCGUAAAAAUCUGUUGGUAGAGAGGAACGUUGGUGAGAGUGGAAAGCUCCUCAAGUGACGGUAACCGCACAAAAAGCGACGGCUAACUACGUG
rnacentral:rRNA from 1 species